rnacentral:rRNA from 1 species
UACGGAGGGUGCAAGCGUUGUUCGGAAUCACUGGGCGUAAAGCGCGCGCAGGCGGCAUCGUAAGUCGGGUGUGAAAUCCCUGGGCUUAACCCAGGACGUGCGCCUGAUACUGCGACGCUAGAGUCUGGGAGAGGGAUGUGGAAUUCCUGGUGUAGAGGUGAAAUUCGUAGAGAUCAGGAGGAACACUCGUGGCGAAGGCGACAUCCUGGACCAAGACUGACGCUGAGGCGCGAAAGCGUGGGGAGCAAACAGG